ACGCUCGACACCUACGGGAGGCAGCAGUCGGGAAUAUUGCGCAAUGGAGGAAACUCUGACGCAGUGACGCCGCGUAUAGGAAGAAGGUUUUCGGAUUGUAAACUAUUGUCGUUAGGGAAGAUACAAGACAGUACCUAAGGAGGAAGCACCGGCUAACUAUGUGUCAGCAGCCGCGGUAAUCUGAGCGGGCUGGCAAGGC
rnacentral:rRNA from 1 species